rnacentral:rRNA from 1 species
UACAGAGGUCUCAAGCGUUGUUCGGAUUCAUUGGGCGUAAAGGGCGCGUAGGCGGCGCUGUAAGUCGGGUGUGAAAUUUCGGAGCUUAACUCCGAAACUGCAUUCGAUACUGCCGUGCUUGAGGACUGGAGAGGAGACUGGAAUUUACGGUGUAGCGGUGAAAUGCGUAGAUAUCGUAAGGAAGACCAGUGGCGAAGGCGGGUCUCUGGACAGUUCCUGACGCUGAGGCACGAAGGUCAGGGGAGCAAACGGG